GAUGAACGCUAGCGGCAGGCCUAAUACAUGCAAGUCGAACGGUGUAGCAAUACACAGUGGCGCACGGGUGCGUAACACGUAUGCAACCUACCUUACAUUGGGGGAUAGCCUUUCGAAGGGGAGAUUAAUACCGCAUAAGACAGUAACUAGGCAUCUAGUAGCUGUUAAAGAUUUAUCGAUGUAAGCUGGGCAUGCGUCCAAUUAGUUAGUUGGCGAGGUAAUGGCUCACCAAGACGAUGAUUGGUAGGGGAACUGAGAGGUCAAUCCCCCACACUGGCACUGAGAAACGGGCCAGACUCCGACGGGAGGCAGCAGUAGGGAAUAUUGGGCAAUGGGCGCAAGCCUGACCCAGCCAUGCCGCGUGCAGGAAGAAGGCGUUAUGCGUUGUAAACUGCUUUCAUACAGGAAGAAACGACCCUUGCGAGGGGCAUUGACGGUACUGUAUGAAUAAGCACCGGCUAACUCCGUGCCAGCCGCCGCCGUAACAC
rnacentral:rRNA from 1 species